UCUUAAAGCCGUUCUCAGUUCGGAUUGUAGGCUGCAACUCGCCUACAUGAAGUCGGAAUCGCUAGUAAUCGCGGAUCAGCAUGCCGCGGUGAAUACGCUCCCGGGCCUUGUACACACCGCCCGUCACACCAUGAGAGUUUGUAACACCCAAAGCCGGUGGGGUAACCUUUUGGAGCCAGCCGUCUAAGGUGGGACAGAUGAUUGGGGUGAAGUCGUAACAAGGUAAC
rnacentral:rRNA from 1 species